GGGGAAUUUUGGACAAUGGGGGCAACCCUGAUCCAGCAAUGCCGCGUGAGUGAAGAAGGCCCUCGGGUUGUAAAGCUCUUUUGUCAGGGAAGAAACGGUCUACUCUAAUACAGUGGGCUAAUGACGGUACCUGAAGAAUAAGCACCGGCUAACUACGUGCCAGCAGCCGCGGUAAUACGUAGGGUGCAAGCGUUAAUCGGAAUUACUGGGCGUAAAGCGUGCGCAGGCGGUUAUAUAAGACAGAGGUGAAAUCCCCGGGCUCAACCUGGGAACUGCCUUUGUGACUGUAUGGCUAGAGUGUGUCAGAGGGGGGUAGAAUUCCACGUGUAGCAGUGAAAUGCGUAGAUAUGUGGAGGAAUACCGAUGGCGAAGGCAGCCCCCUGGGAUAACACUGACGCUCAUGCACGAAAGCGUGGGGAGCAAAC
rnacentral:rRNA from 1 species